ensembl:lncRNA
GUGCAUUGUGGGAGGUGGGAGAAACCAAGUGCUGAGGAUGAAGGGUGGGAUGUUUGUUCAUUUGAAAUUUGUGUGCCUUACCAAUGAUGGAAUUUGUAUACAUGACUGAUAAAUAAUAAUGGUUUGAUUAGUGCAUAUAGUUUAUAAAUUCAGGUUUGGUUAUUUGAUUAAAUUAAUUUCUGUUAACUUGCGUGACUGUCAAUGGUUUUGCCCAUCACUAUAAAUGCACACUAGCCGGACUAAGCCAGAUUUAUCAGUAUGAGAUUGCAGCUCCAGUGUAAGGAUGCAGGAAGAGAUUGUCAUGCUUGAAAUUAUGUGCUUACUUUCAUCAUUGGAUGUGCCAUUCAUGCCUUGGAUUAUUCCUGAUGUAGGCAAUCGUGUAGAUCCCCCUCCUAUUGACAGCUAUCUGGCAAUUCCAGAGUCCUAAUGCUGGUGUUAUUCCAGAUGUUGCCCCGCUAUACAUGUCUUGAGUUUGACUGACCAGGACUUGACCAGAGGACUCAAAGAGCAGGUUUUGCUACGUGUAUGCAAUGUGUAUAUUCAACAGUCUUUUGGUUUUCAUAUAGUAAACAUCAACCUGAUGACAACAAAACAUGUACUGUCUUCUAGGUAAGCUGGGCAGCUUCUUGGAGUUGGAUGUGCUGCUGUCCUGUAGCUUGAUAGCAGCUCACUUUUGAUGCAUUCCCCCCCACCCCCUCCCCGAUAGUCCUUGUUAUGGACAACUUCAGCACUCAUCUAGGUAAGUCUCAUUCCUAAUAAGCUCUUCUCGUUUGUUCUCUGGAAAUGGGGAGAGCUUUCUUCAGUAGAUUCUCAAGUGCUUGAAUAUCAGCUUUGACUUGUUUUCCAUUUGUGCAUAUUGUUUUCUUUACGGCAUUAAGACGUGUUCCCCAACAGUCUCUGAGUAACCAAUUUUACCUCUAUUACUUGGUGAGGAGCAGAACCGGUUAAAGUUGGUUUUGAAUAAUUAUUCAAAAUAUACGUUUUAAAAUACAAAUUGCUGUCAACUGACAAGGUUUGUGUCUUAACAGAAGCCUGUUGAA